GGCAGUGUAGCGUAGUGGUAGGGAGCAGGGCUUGUAACCGAAAGGUUGCCGGUUCAAUUCCCCACUGGGUCA